GAUGAACGCUGGCGGCGUGCCUAAUACAUGCAAGUCGAGCGAACGGACGAGAAGCUUGCUUCUCUGAUGUUAGCGGCGGACGGGUGAGUAACACGUGGAUAACCUACCUAUAAGACUGGGAUAACUUCGGGAAACCGGAGCUAAUACCGGAUGAUAUUUUGAACCGCAUGGUUCAAAAGUGAAAAACGUUCUUGCUGUCACUUAUAGAUGGAUCCGCGCUGCAUUAGCUAGUUGGUAAGGUAACGGCUUACCAAGGCAACGAUGCAUAGCCGACCUGAGAGGGUGAUCGGCCACACUGGAACUGAGACACGGUCCAGACUCCUACGGGAGGCAGCAGUAGGGAAUCUUCCGCAAUGGGCGAAAGCCUGACGGAGCAACGCCGCGUGAGUGAUGAAGGUCUUCGGAUCGUAAAACUCUGUUAUUAGGGAAGAACAUAUGUGUAAGUAACUGUGCACAUCUUGACGGUACCUAAUCAGAAAGCCACGGCUAACUACGUG
rnacentral:rRNA from 1 species